rnacentral:lncRNA from 1 species
CCCCUAAAAAAUCUGCAGGUUAGAGACAAUGCAUUUCUUCUUAGUUGCAUUACAUGAUCUUACAUCAUGAGUUAGCUCAAGUUUAACCAUGAACCUCAAGCUAUUCUGCAUGCGGUUGUUUAUUAUUCCAGAAUGAUGCUGCAUCAUUGAAUGAGUAUUAUGUAUGUAACUUUGCUUCGGUACACCCCCCUAGAAAAGUUUUUGGAUUUCGAUACUGAUUAAAGGUGAAGAUUAGAUGAUACCCCUUCAAUCAAAAAGGAUAAUAUAAUAUUUUGUAUUCAAGUCAAUCUAUUUAAUACGUUUAAUCUGCAGGCUAAUAUGGCGAUAGCCUUUUUAACUAACAUUAAGAUUCAUGCAAACUUUUAGGGUGGUUGUACCGAAGCAAAACUCAAUACUUGUUCCAAAAUUAAAAUAAAACAUCUACAUACAGUGUGUACUCCAUUAGAAACAAACAGCUUGUCACAGUACAGCAGGCUGAUAAGGCAAGCAAUAGCAAAACCAUCUUAAGGUGGAUAGGAAAACAUGCAUAAGCUGAAGCUUUUUGGUUCUAAACUAUAAGAUCGAGAACAAUCACGUAUGAGUUUUACUUCGGUACAUGAUGAUAGUUAUCCAUUGUUAUUGUAAUUACUUGUCCUCUUUCAGGUUUCAGCACCGUUAACUCUUUUGCUUUAAAUUAUGCCAUGCUGAAAUGCUCCUCAUUGUUUUGCUUUCCAUAUUUCAAGAUGCAGAAUUGCCCGGCCUGUGAAGUUCUUAGACAGUUUCUAUGUCAGUGAUGAAAAGCUUCAGAAGGGUGUCUUGGUAAUUACAUCCUGAAGAGUGAUUGGCGCCGUGCUGCAAAAGAAGUGCUUUUCUUCUUCCCUAGUGGAAGUUCUAUCCUAGUACUUUUGUAUGAGCUUUGCCAGUUUAUCUAUAAGGGUGGUCUGUUCCCUUUUGUCAUAUUGUUUCUGUUUGGAACAACUUGUUGAGCUCUAUCUUAUAGGACUAAUGCAUCGUAUGGAUUUGAAAAAAAAUUAAAGGUUUAAAUUCCUGUGAUUUUCUGGGCCUGGAGCUCCCUAAUUGGUUGGCGAUAGCAAAAUCUAUCCUGUUGGACUUUGUCUUGUGAAGUUCAUUGCAAAAUGUGCUCUAUUUAUUGCUGCUUGUUAAUUGUGCUGGAGAAAUGUCUGGACAUGAAAAAUAGAUGUAAUAUUAUCAUGAUGCUUCUCUUAAAUGUCUCACAAAUAUGUCCCUUAUUG